rnacentral:rRNA from 1 species
UACGAAGGUGGCAAGCGUUACUCGGAAUUACUAGGCGUAAAGCGCAGGUAGGCGGUUCGAUAAGUCUUUUGUGAAAGCUCCCGGCUUAACUGGGAGAGGUCAAGAGAAACUGUCGAACUAGAGUGUGGUAGAGGAAACUGGAAUUCCCGGUGUAGCGGUGAAAUGCGUAGAUAUCGGGAGGAAUACCUAUGGCGAAAGCAGGUUCUGGGCCAUCACUGACGCUGAGCUGCGAAAGCUAGGGGAGCAAACAGG